rnacentral:lncRNA from 1 species
GACAACCCAUUAAGAAUGAGAUAAGAACAUCAUCAUUAACUGAAGUGGGAGCAAGAUGAGGCUUUGAAGAUAACCCCAUACCAGUCUACUGAAACAAGGCCAAAAUUUGCAGUAUGUUCCUCGUGGGAUAUAUGGAGUCAGUAGCAGUGAAUAAAAUGCUACAAUUAAACUAAAUGCAGUAAGCUUCAGCAGGCACAAUUCCUGAUCCUGCAAGAUGCCAAGUACUCUCAAGUCAAGAUCAAGUACUUAGAGCUCUACUACAAAAGAAACAAGCAUAAAAGACAAAAUACUAAACUCAUUACUACGGAACAGGCAUGAAGAGGAGCAUCUCUUCCCUUACCUACAGGAUACUACCAAAUCACUAUUGACUAAAUGGUCAAUUACCCAGGACAUCACUGCAAUAUCAAUUUCCAUCUUUGACUCCCAUUG